CCCUUAGAUGUUCUGGGCCGCACGCGCGCUACACUGAUGCAUUCAACAAGUUCUACCUUGGCCGAGAGGCCUGGGAAAUCUUUCAAAUAUGUAUCGUGAUAGGGAUAGAUUAUUGCAAUUAUUAAUCUUGAACGAGGAAUUCCUAGUAAACGCAAGUCAUCAGCUUGCAUUGAUUACGUCCCUGCCCUUUGUACACACCGCCUGUCGCACAAACCGAUUGAAUGAUUCGGUGAAAAUUUUGGACAUCGAGAGUGGUGAUUAAUUUCGCUGCUCUUAAAUGGAAAGAAUUUAAACCUAAUUAUUUAGAGGAUUGUGAAGUCAUAACA
rnacentral:rRNA from 1 species